rnacentral:rRNA from 1 species
UGAACGCUGGCGGCGUGCCUAAUACAUGCAAGUCGCGCGAACAGAUGCGGAGCUUGCUCCUCUGACGUUAGCGGCGGACGGGUGAGUAACACGUGGAUAACCUACCUAUAAGACUGGGAUAACUUCGGGAAACCGGAGCUAAUACCGGAUAAUAUAUUGAACCGCAUGGUUCAAUAGUGAAAGACGGUUUUGCUGUCACUUAUAGAUGGAUCCGCGCCGCAUUAGCUAGUUGGUAAGGUAACGGCUUACCAAGGCAACGAUGCGUAGCCGACCUGAGAGGGUGAUCGGCCACACUGGAACUGAGACACGGUCCAGACUCCUACGGGAGGCAGCAGUAGGGAAUCUUCCGCAAUGGGCGAAAGCCUGACGGAGCAACGCCGCGUGAGUGAUGAAGGUCUUCGGAUCGUAAAACUCUGUUAUUAGGGAAGAACAAAUGUGUAAGUAACUAUGCACGUCUUGACGGUACCUAAUCAGAAAGCCACGGCUAACUACGUG